UUUUGUUAGAGAUCCCUGCAUAUCUGAGGCCUUUCAAAGUCAACCAGCCUGCAACUCUGCCACCUUAAGAUAGCUUCAGAAAACUGCAGGCUCCUGCUGGCUGGACUGGCCCUGAAGCCUCCUCCAUCCUCUAUCCCCAACCUCCAUCAUCCACCCUCCAUCCUUCAGCCUGCAUCCUCUGUCCUCUGGACUGUCCCAAAGCACAGAGCAGGAGCGCAUGUGUGCAGCCUCUGCUGUUGCACACCCUGCAGAUGACAGCCAGUUUUCCUGCAGAGCUAUCAGUGGUGGUUUGGCUGAUGAGUUUCCUCCUGAAGGGACCUGGUCCUUUUGGUGCCAGGACCAGAUGACACCAAUGGCUCUGCAGAUUUCUCCACCAUUUUCUUCCCUGUGGAUCCCAGCUGGCCUGAUGGAGGAGGCAUGCAUCAGCCAGAGAGCACGAGCUGCCACGAAGCUGAGCCUCUACGGACAGCAGUGCCCUCAGAGCUUAAAACUGUAAUUUAAGAACCAGUUGCGAGAGCUCUGUAGACCUUAAAUAUGAUCCUACAGAGCCAUAAUUAAGCAUCUGACUGAUCAGAAAAUAUUUAAUGCUUGCAACAGGUUUUCCUUCUCAGCCCCAUUAGAUAAAGCGAUACUGGUGGGAAAGUCCAGGGAGGCCGUUACCAGAGUUCAGCAGAAGGGCUAACGAGUCGGCAAACAAUGUUCCUUUUAGGCCCUGGGCUUCGGGAGUCCCAAAUUCCCAACAUUAGAGCUAACACAUUUUAAAUUACUUCCCAAGUCCCAGCACUGGACUAUGGUUACGUUUUGGAGAGCAGCCAAGAGGUAGCUUAGGGCUGGUAACGAAUGCGGGCU